rnacentral:rRNA from 1 species
CAAUAGCGUAUAUUAAAGUUGUUGCAGUUAAAAAGCUCGUAGUUGGAUUUCUGAUCGAGACAUCAGGUCGGGUCCGAGAGGAUCAUGUACUUUGAUUUUGUUUUGAUCAUCCUUGGGGAGAGCAUUUCUGGCAUUCAGUUGUCGGGAUUGGGAUCCUCAUCGUUUACUGUGAAAAAAUUAGAGUGUUCAAAGCAGGCCUCGGCCUCUGAAUACAUUAGCCUGGAAUAAUAAGAUAGGACUUUGGUGGUCUAUUUUGUUGGUUUGCACGCCAAAGUAAUGAUUAAUAGGGAUAGUUGGGGGUAUUCGUAUUCAAUUGUCAGAGGUGAAAUUCUUGGAUUUAUGGAAGACGAACUACUGCGAAAGCAUUUACCAAGGAUGUUUUCAUUAA